AGAUAAAACAUAGGUGCAGUUCCAAUGAUAUUUUUGGUGCUUUUUUUCAUUCAUAAGGUGAUAUCUGUCUAAAACUUAACGUCACAUUCGGAUCCUCUACCAAAACAUGACUGUGUCGUACAUUUAUUUUUCCAAAAAUGGGAGCUUAACUCCACAUGUUAUAUCAUGAAUGGAAAACAGUUCUAACAUCAUAUAAGCAAUUGUACGUAAGUUUAGUCCUUUAAAAAAAUGCUAAUCUAAAAGAUCGAAUCUCAUUCUCCGUUUGUUCUUCAUUCUAUGUUUUUUUAACAUAUUGUAAAAUUCUACUCCCUCUAUCUCAAAUUAUAAAUCAUUUUCUCUAGACUUACGUACAAUUGCUUAUAUACUGUUAGAACUGUUUUCCCUAAAACCCUAGACCCUAAACCUUAAAUAUAUAUUAUAUAUAAGCUUAAAGAUUUAAGUCUUUUUUAUUUUAAUUUUUGUAAUUGAAUUGUUUUUUUAAAAAAAAAAGAUAAAACAUAGGUGCAGUUCCAAUGAUAUUUUUGGUGCUUUUUUUCAUUCAUAAGGUGAUAUCUGUCUAAAACUUAACGUCACAUUCGGAUCCUCUACCAAAACAUGACUGUGUCGGACAUUUAUUUUUCCAAAAAUGGGAGCUUAACUCCAUAUGUUAUAUCAUGAAUGGAAAACAGUUCUAACAUCAUAUAAGCAAUUGUACGUAAGUUUAGUCCUUUAAAAAAA
rnacentral:lncRNA from 1 species